rnacentral:lncRNA from 1 species
CUUGGGCCCCUAUUUGGGUCUGCAGUAUUGUUUAAAUCAAUAAAAUAAAUAAAUAUUCAGCCAGAGUGCUAACUU